rnacentral:rRNA from 1 species
UACGUAGGUGGCAAGCGUUGUCCGGAUUUAUUGGGUUUAAAGGGUGCGUAGGUGGCCCUGUAAGUCAGUGGUGAAAUAUCUCAGCUUAACUGAGAGGGUGCCAUUGAUACUGCAGGGCUUGAGUACAGAUGAGGUAGGCGGAAUUGACGGUGUAGCGGUGAAAUGCAUAGAUAUCGUCAAGAACACCGAUAGCGAAGGCAGCUUACCAAGCUGUAACUGACACUGAGGCACGAAAGUGUGGGAAUCAAACAGG